rnacentral:rRNA from 1 species
AUUGAACGCUGGCGGCAGGCCUAACACAUGCAAGUCGAACGAGUGGCGGACGGGUGAGUAAUGUCUGGGAAACUGCCCGAUGGAGGGGGAUAACUACUGGAAACGGUAGCUAAUACCGCAUCCCAUCGGAUGUGCCCAGAUGGGAUUAGCUAGUAGGUGGGGUAACGGCUCACCUAGGCGACGAUCCCUCGCUGGUCUGAGAGGAUGACCAGCAAAACUGGAACUGAGAAACGGUCAAGCCGCCUACGGGAGGCAGAAGUGGGGAAUAUUGCACAAUGGGAGAAAGCCGGAUGCAGCCAUGCCGCGUGUAUGAAGAAGGCCUUCGGGUUGUAAAGUACUUUCAGCGAGGAGGCGUUACGAGCAGAAGAAGCACCGGCUAACUCCGUGCCAGCAGCAGCGGUAAUUC